rnacentral:rRNA from 1 species
UACAGAGGGGGCAAGCGUUGUUCGGAAUUACUGGGCGUAAAGGGCGCGUAGGCGGCCUGUUAAGUCGAACGUGAAAGUCCAGGGCUCAACCCUGGGAUGCCGGUGGAUACUGUCGGGCUCGAGUCCGGAAGAGGCGAGUGGAAUUCCUGGUGUAGCGGUGAAAUGCGCAGAUAUCAGGAGGAACACCAAUGGCGAAGGCAGCUCGCUGGGACGUGACUGACGCUGAGACGCGAAAGCGUGGGGAGCAAACAGG